GAUGAACGCUGGCGGCGUGCCUAAUACAUGCAAGUCGAGCGAACAGAUCAGGAGCUUGCUCCUUUGACGUUAGCGGCGGACGGGUGAGUAACACGUGGAUAACCUACCUAUAAGACUGGGAUAACUUCGGGAAACCGGAGCUAAUACCGGAUAACAUAUUGAACCGCAUGGUUCAAUAGUGAAAGGCGGCUUUGCUGUCACUUAUAGAUGGAUCCGCGCCGUAUUAGCUAGUUGGUAAGGUAACGGCUUACCAAGGCAACGAUACGUAGCCGACCUGAGAGGGUGAUCGGCCACACUGGAACUGAGACACGGGCCAGACUCCUACGGGAGGCAGCAGUAGGGAAUCUUCCGCAAUGGGCGAAAGCAUGACGGAGCAACGCCGCGUGAGUGAUGAAGGUCUUCGGAUCGUAAAACUCUGUUAUCAGGGAAGAACAAAUGUGUAAGUAACUGUGCACAUCUUGUCGGUACCUGAUCAGAAAGCCACGGCUAACUACGUG
rnacentral:rRNA from 1 species